AAAGUAGUGUGCAGCCAAGGAUGACUUGCCGAUUUAAAUGAUCUUUCUUUAUACUCUAUUAAGACAAUUUAGUUUCAAACUUUUUUUUUUUUUUUGGUUUUUGAAGGAUUCAGGAAGAAAUUAGGAUAUAUUAUUCCGUAUAAAAUACAAGAUAUAUAAAACCAAAAAGAAAAAGUAACAUGAUCGGCAAGUUGUCCUUGGCUACACGUUACUUUGU